UUCGAUGGUAGGAUAGAGGCCUACCAUGGUAUCAACGGGUAACGGGGAAUUAGGGUUCGACUCCGGAGAGGGAGCCUGAGAAACGGCUACCACAUCCAAGGAAGGCAGCAGGCGCGCAAAUUACCCAAUCCCGACACGGGGAGGUAGUGACAAUAAAUACUGAUACAGGGCUCUUUUGGGUCUUGUAAUUGGAAUGAGUACAAUUUAAAUCCCUUAACGAGGAACAAUUGGAGGGCAAGUCUGGUGCCAGCAGCCGCGGUAAUUCCAGCUCCAAUAGCGUAUAUUAAAGUUGUUGCAGUUAAAAAGCUCGUAGUUGAACCUUGGGCCUGGCUGGCCGGUCCGCCUCACCGCGUGUACUGGUCCGGCCGGGCCUUUCCAACUGGGGAACCUCAUGCCCUUCACUGGGCGUGUUGGGGAUCCAGCACUUUUACUUUGA
rnacentral:rRNA from 1 species